AUACGAGUAUGUACCUAGUCAUAUAAAAUCUGACAGAAAACGUGUCGCUUCGUCUUCAUUUUGUUUACAGGAGAAUCAAAAAAAUAAAGUACUUCAAUACACAUUUCAAUGUACCACUGAUACCUUAUUCAUUUAAUGUUAAAGAAUAACUGCCGGAAUUAUAAAAUACGCCACAAUUCGUAGUUGAGAUGACAUUUUCAUGGAGACUUUUUGACAUGCGCAAGCAUUCAUAAAAAAAAAGAUAGGGGUUUUUAGCUUACAAACGAAUGAGGCCUUACAAUUUGAAUGUCAUAGUCAAUAAGGUAACAACCGCCAACAUUUUCUACCUUCGUGACGCGCAAACAGUGUACGGUCGAUCCGAUAAAGGGUUAACAGGGUAAUCAGUCGCCAAUUGCCACCGCGGCCCCUACUCCUACACUACGCGUAACGUAACAGACCACUUACGGCACUAGCAAUUAAUAUUUAUUAUACUUCAUAAGAUCCUAAACCGGGGUUAUCCUAGAGACGUCAUAGUCUGAGAGCUGGUGUACCGUUUGUUUUAAGCUUCUAUACACGUGUAAGGGCUAAUUUUUGAAUCGCCAAAUAAAUACCUAAUGAACAAAUUCAACAUUUUGAAAGGUGCCAGAACGUCAA